rnacentral:rRNA from 1 species
CCCUUAGAGUUUGAUCCUGGCUCAGAACGAACGCUGGCGGCGUGGAUAAGACAUGCAAGUCGAACGGGAUAUGAUUUGUAGCAAUACAAAUGAUGUCCAGUGGCGUAAGGGUGCGUAACACGUGGGGAAUCUGCCGAGAAGUGGGGGAUAGCUCGCCGAAAGGCGAAUUAAUACCGCAUGUGGUUAGUGAGGACAUCCUCACGACACCAAAGCCGGGGCAACCUGGCGCUUCUUGAUGACCCCGCGGCCUAUCAGCUAGUUGGUGAGGUAACGGCUCACCAAGGCUAUGACGGGUAGCUGGUCUGAGAGGACGACCAGCCACACUGGAACUGAGACACGGUCCAGACACCUACGGGUGGCAGCAGUCGAGAAUUUUUCUCAAUGGGGGAAACCCUGAAGGAGCGACGCCGCGUGGAGGAUGAAGGUCUUCGGAUUGUAAACUCCUGUCAUUUGGGAACAAGUUGCAUCGGUUAACUGCCGAUGCAUUGAUAGUACCAGAAGAGGAAGAGACGGCUAACUCUGUGCCAGCAGCCGCGGUAAUACAGAGGUCUCAAGCGUUGUUCGGAUUCAUUGGGCGCAAAGGGUGCGUAGGUGGCGGGGUUAGUCAGGUGUGAAAUCUCGGAGCUCAACUCCGAAACUGCACUUGAUACUGCCUUGCUAGAGUACUGGAGAGGAGAUUGGAAUUUACGGUGUAGCAGUGAAAUGCGUAGAUAUCGUAAGGAAGACAAGUGG